rnacentral:rRNA from 1 species
AGAUUGAACGCUGGCGGAAUGCUUUACACAUGCAAGUCGAGCGGCAGCGCGGGGGCAACCCUGGCGGCGAGCGGCGAACGGGUGAGUAAUACAUCGGAACAUGUCCAGUUGUGGGGGAUAGCCCGGCGAAAGCCGGAUUAAUACCGCAUGAGCUCGAGAGAGGAAAGCGGGGGACCGUAAGGCCUCGCGCGACUGGGUUGGCCGAUGUCCGAUUAGCUAGUGGUGGGUAAAGCCUACCGAAGGCGAUGAUCGGUAGCUGGUCUGAGAGGAUGAUCAGCCACACUGGGACUGAGACACGGCCCAGACUCCGUACGGGAGGCAGCAGUGGGAAUUUGGACAAGUGGGGCAACCUGAUCCAGCCAUCCGCGUGAGUGAAGAACGGCCUUCGGGUUAGUAAAGACUUCGUUUCGUCCGG